CCUACACAUGCAGUCGAGGGGUAACAGGAAAGCUUGCUUUUGCUGACGACCGGCGCACGGGUGCGUAACGCGUAUGCAACCUACCUCAUACUGGAGCAUAGCCCUUGGAAACGGGGAUUAAUACUCCAUGGUAUCAUGAAUUCGCAUGUUUUCAUGAUUAAAGAAUUUCGGUAUGAGAUGGGCAUGCGUCCCAUUAGCUAGUUGGUGAGGUAACGGCUCACCAAGGCGACGAUGGGUAGGGGGCCUGAGAGGGUGGUCCCCCACACUGGUACUGAGACACGGACCAGACUCCUACGGGAGGCAGCAGUGAGGAAUAUUGGUCAAUGGAGGCAACUCUGAACCAGCCAUGCCGCGUGAAGGAUGACGGCCCUAUGGGUUGUAAACUUCUUUUAUAUGGGAAGAAACUUAUCUACGUGUAGAUAACUGACGGUACCAUACGAAUAAGGAUCGGCUAACUCCGUGCCAGCAGCCGCGGUAAUACGGAGGAUCCAAGCGUUAUCCGGAUUCAUUGGGUUUAAAGGGUCCGUAGGCGGAUUUUUAAGUCAGUGGUGAAAGCCGACAGCUCAACUGUCGAACUGCCAUUGAUACUGGAGAUCUUGAGUACAAAUGAAGUAGGCGGAAUGAGUCAUGUAGCGGUGAAAUGCAUAGAUAUGACUCAGAACACCAAUUGCGAAGGCAGCUUACUAACAUGUAACUGACGCUGAGGGACGAAAGCGUGGGGAGCGAACAGGAUUAGAUACCCUGGUAGUCCACGCCGUAAACGAUCAUCACUCGCUGUUGGCGAUAUACAGUCAGCGGCCAAGCGAAAGUAUUAAGUGAUGCACCUGGGGAGUACGCCGGC
rnacentral:rRNA from 1 species